rnacentral:lncRNA from 1 species
CAUCUCCGCUGCCGCCGCCGCUCGCCCCGCCGCUGCGGAUCCCGAGGAGGAGCCCGUGGGUCACCGCCGCCCCGCGACUAGCCCCGUAGUACAGCCAGAGAGCAUGCGCAGCUACCCCAGCGCCCUAGGGAACCCCCGGGCCAGCCUGGCGCUACCUGCGAUCAACAGGUCCCGCCGCCACCGCACCCCCCCCUCCCUACACAGAGCCUCGGCCCCACCCCGCUCCGGCCCAGCGCCCCGCCCCCUUCGCCAGCCUCUUGCUCCGGCUGAGGUUGCGUGAGAUUUCGCCCGGGACAGCUCCCGCGCCGAGAGGAUUGAGUUCUCGCGAGGUCUGGGCGUUGGCGUCAAUAAAGAGCGCGAACGCAGGUCGCUUGACGUGUGUUGAGCGGCUGAUGGUUGGUUGGUGCUCUUCGGCUCUGAAGGAGAGGGAAGGAGUCGGGAGAAGAGGCGUGAAAGCUCUCAACAUUUCCAAGGGCCAUGAUAGCUGACAACUCAUUCCUCUCUCUUUGCCUAACCAAGAGUUUCAAAGCAUUGCCUCACCACCAUCAUCCCCAGCGAGAAUGAUCCAAAGGGACCUUGAGAAA